rnacentral:rRNA from 1 species
CAAUAGCGUAUAUUAAAGUUGUUGCGGUUAAAAAGCUCGUAGUUGGAUUUCUGCCGAGGACGAUCGGUCCGCCCUCUGGGUGAGUAUCUGGUUCGGCCUUGGCAUCUUCUUGGAGAACGUUACUGCACUUGAUUGUGUGGUGCGGUAUCCAGGACUUUUACUUUGAGGAAAUUAGAGUGUUUCAAGCAGGCACACGCCUUGAAUACAUUAGCAUGGAAUAAUAAGAUAGGACGUUGGUUCUAUUUUGUUGGUUUCUAGAGCUGACGUAAUGAUUAAUAGGGAUAGUUGGGGGCAUUCGUAUUUAACUGUCAGAGGUGAAAUUCUUGGAUUUGUUAAAGACGAACUACUGCGAAAGCAUUUGCCAAGGAUGUUUUCAUUG